UCGUGUCGUGAGAUGUUGGGUUAAGUCCCGCAACGAGCGCAACCCUCACCCCUUGUUGCCAUCAGGUCAUGCUGGGCACUCUAGGGGAACUGCCCCGGUCAACGGGGAGGAAGGCGGGGAUGACGUCAAGUCAUCAUGCCCCUUACGCCCUGGGCUACACACGUGUUACAAUGGCCGGUACAAAGGGAUGCGAGACCGCGAGGUGGAGCCAAACCCAAAAAGCCGGUCUAAGUUCAGAUUGGAGUCUGCAACUCGACUCCAUGAAGGAGGAAUCGCUAGUAAUCGC
rnacentral:rRNA from 1 species